rnacentral:rRNA from 1 species
GUGGCAAGCGUUAUCCGGAAUUACUGGGCAUAAAGAGUUCGUAGGCGGUCAAUCAAGCCAAAUAGUGAAAUCCAUCGGCCUAACCGAUGUAAGCUAAUGGAACUGAGUGACUUGAGUACAGGAGAGGAAAGUGGAAUUCCUAGUGUAGUAGUGAAAUGCGUAGAUAUUAGGAAGAACAUCAGUAGCGAAGGCGACUUUCUGGACUGUAACUGACGCUGAGGAACGAAAGCGUGGGGAGCGAACAGGAUUAGAUACCCUGGUAGUCCAUGCCGUAAACGAUGGAUACUUGGUGUUGGCCGUAAAGGUCGGUGCCGGAGCAAAUGUAUUAAGUAUCCCGCCUGGGGAGUACGGUCGCAAGGCUGAAACUCAAAAGAAUUGACGGGGACCCGCACAAGCAGCGGAGCAUGUGGUUUAAUUCGAAGCAACGCGAAGAACCUUACCAAAUCUUGACAUAUCAAAGCUAUCUGAGUAAAAUUGGAGUUCCAUUUGGACUUUGACUACAGGUGGUGCAUGGUUGUCGUCAGCUCGUGUCGUGAGAUGUUGGGUUAAGUCCCGUAACGAGCGCAACCCUUAUUUUUAGUUGCUAACAAGUAAUGUUGAGGACUCUAGAGAGACUGCCGAUGAAAAAAUCGGAGGAAGGUGGGGAUGACGUCAAAUCAUCAUGCCCCUUAUGAUUUGGGCUACACACGUGCUACAAUGGCCGGUACAACGGGUAAGCGAAGGGGUGACCUGGAGCCAAUCCUCAUAAGCCGGUCCCAGUUCGGAUUGCAGAUUGAAACUCAUCUGUAUGAAGUUGGAGUUGCUAGUAAUCGCGAAUCAGAAUGUCGCGGUGAAUGCGUUCCCGGGUCUUGUACACACCGCCCGUCACACCAUGGAAGUUGGAGGCACCCGAAGUCAGUG